UGGGUAAUCUGCCCUCGAUUCUGGGAUAGCCCGGGGAAACCCGGAUUAAUACCGGAUAGCCUUUCGGGCUUUCGAGCUCGUUAGAAAAGGUAGCUUCGGCCUCCGAUCGAGGAUGAGCCCGCGGCGGAUUAGCUUGUUGGUGGGUAAUGGCCUACCAAGGCGACGAUCCGUAGCUGGUCUGAGAGGACGAUCAGCCACACUGGGACUGAGACACGGCCCAGACCUCCGUACGGGAGCAG
rnacentral:rRNA from 1 species